AGAGUUUGAUCAUGGCUCAGAAUGAACGCUGGCGGCAGGCCUAACACAUGCAAGUCGAACGGGCACUUCGGUGCUAGUGGCGGACGGGUGAGUAACGCGUGGGAACAUACCCCUCGGUUCGGAAUAGCCUCGGGAAACUGGGAGUAAUACCGGAUACGGACUAUGGCCGAAAGAUUUAUCGCCGAGGGAUUGGCCCGCGUUGGAUUAGGUAGUUGGUGGGGUAAUGGCCUACCAAGCCGACGAUCCAUAGCUGGUUUGAGAGGAUGAUCAGCCACACUGGGACUGAGACACGGCCCAGACUCCUACGGGAGGCAGCAGUGGGGAAUCUUAGACAAUGGGGGGAACCCUGAUCUAGCCAUGCCGCGUGAUCGAUGAAGGCCUUAGGGUUGUAAAGAUCUUUCAGAUGGGAAGAUAAUGACGGUACCAUCAGAAGAGCC
rnacentral:rRNA from 1 species